UACGUAGGGGGCAAGCGUUGUCCGGAUUUAUUGGGCGUAAAGAGCUCGUAGGCGGCUUGGCAAGUCGGGUGUGAAAACUCCAGGCUCAACCUGGAGAUGCCACUCGAGACUGCUAUGGCUAGAGUCCGGUAGGGGACCACGGAAUUCCUGGUGUAGCGGUGAAAUGCGCAGAUAUUAGGAAGAACACCAGUGGCGAAGGCGGCUCACUGGUCCGGUACUGACGCUGAGGUGCGAAAGCGUGGGGAGCAAACAGGG
rnacentral:rRNA from 1 species